UACGGGGGGGGCAAGCGUUGUUCGGAAUUACUGGGCGUAAAGGGCUCGUAGGCGGCCAACUAAGUCCGACGUGAAAUCCCCAGGCUUAACCUGGGAACUGCGUCGGAUACUGGAUGGCUUGAAUUCGGGAGAGGGAUGCAGAAUUCCAGAUGUAGCGGUGAAAUGCGUAGAUAUCUGGAGGAAUACCGGUGGCGAAGGCGGCAUCCUGGACCGGUAUUGACGCUGAGGAGCGAAAGCCAGGGGAGCAAACGGG
rnacentral:rRNA from 1 species